AGGACGUGAACCAGUAUGAUGAUUGUACUUCUUCUUCAAUCGAUUCACUAUGUUUGCUGAUGAUGCUUUCUGCAAAGAAAAAUAUAUAGUUAUCACUUAAAAAAAUUAGAAGUAAAAGCUUUGAACUGGUAAAGAAUUACACAAUAAAUACCUUGAACUUAUUGGAGUUCAAAUGAUUACAUAGGUCCACCCAUUGAUUUACACCUCUAUCGAGCAUCUCCAAAGGGGGGUUGGCUAAUGCAUUCUCAUGUGUCUUCUGUAACUUAUAGUAUGCACUCAACUCAACCUUAAACUCUCUAUACCUCCCGUUGUAUAGUCU
rnacentral:lncRNA from 1 species